rnacentral:misc_RNA from 1 species
GAUGAAGAACGCAGCGAAAUGCGAUAAGUAAUGCGAAUUGCAGAAUUUCCGUGAGUCAUCGAAUCUUUGAACGCACAUUGCGCCCACUGGUAUUCCGGGGGGCAUGCCUGUUCGAGCGUCAUUAUCACCCCUCAAGCUCUGCUUGGUGUUGGGCCACGCCAGCGAUGGCCGGCCCUAAAUCCAGUGGCGGCGCCCCCGUGUCCCGAGCGCAGUAGUACAUCUCGCUCCGGGCCCCGGCGGACGGCGACCAGCAACCUCUCUCUACGAUUGACCUCGGAUCAGGUAGGAAUACCCGCUGAACUUAAGCAUAUCAAUAAGCGGAGGA